AGCUACAUAGCAAACCUAUAGCCCUUCUACACAUUUAUUGGUAUUCCUUUUAAAAUUACCAGUGCUUUACUAAAAAAUAGCCAAGCUGACAGCACUAUAGAGUGGGAGUGGAGAUGAGCUGGCAAAGUGGCCGCAAAUUGCAAAGGUCCUCCUCCCUCAUCCCUGCGAAAGCCAACUGAUAAUCUGCAGAUGUGUGUCGUAGGCUUGGGUUAAAAGCUUUCAAAGCCAUCAACGCAAACCGGCCAGGAAAUGGAGGAAUCGUUUCUCUUUUUCGCCACUAGCAGACAAGUGGCUUACAUGCACUCAACCUUAACUGAUUGCCAAUGUGGGUUCGACGUGUGGAAAACCGGGACGAGUGGUCGAAUCGAUGGAAAAAGGGGCACGGCUGUCGAGUCGAGGGCAGCCCUUUAAUUUGUUUUGUAUUGUGGAUUGAUGCUCAUUAAUCCCACAAAUGCCUCAAAACAUGUAAAAAGCGGAAUCCACAACAAAAAGUGUUCAAGUGGAAAACUUGUCCAGCGCACACACACACACACACACGCACACUCGCAAACAGAUGCCAAGUGGCUUUUCCCCUGCUACAAAAACCACAUAAAU
ensembl:ncRNA lncRNA:CR44236 long non-coding RNA:CR44236